rnacentral:ncRNA from 1 species
UAUCUGUUGUGGGCGUGAGAUAUUUGAGGGGUUCUGACACUAGUACGAGAGGACCGUGUUGGACCGACCUCCGGUCAAUCGGUUGUUCCGCCGGGAGCAUUGCCGAGUAGCUGCGUCGGGUACGGAUAAGUGCUGAAAGCAUCUAAGCACGAAGCCAGCCCCAAGAUAAGAUAUCUAUAUAAGGGAGGUUGAAGACUACGACCUUGAUAGGCUGCAGGUGUAUAGACAGUAAUGUCACAGCCGAGCAGUACUAAUUUCCCGUAAUUUUUUCGUGA